CAUAUAUGAGGAGUUCGUUAUUUGCUUGAUUUUUGCAAUCAGAGGCUGACCGUAGACCAGAUGAUUCCUGUGGCUGCAAGACAACCUAGCCUUCCUGACGGCAGACAGAAGUAUGUGACCAGAGGAGAUUAUAUGUAUUGGAAAAACCACUGAACUGAAGUUUAGAAUUUGUUGGUUGUGAGCUAUGACAAUGCAUCUUGCAUUAAUAAUGCAUCUUAAUGUACAUAUGAGGGGAAAUCUUGAACAAAACCUGCAUGAAGCGUGUAUUCACUACAGUGCUGUGAGUUGCUGGUAGAACAAAGUUGAGAAUCUAAUUUAGCUAGUGAACAGAAAACAGGUAUAACAGAAGAAAAAGCAAGAAAAGGCCACACCUAAUGGUCAGAGUAAGACUUCUUUUCUCAUUGAAAUGUAAAGUUGGAUUCCCAAAUCUUUGUUCCAGAUUUUGGCUCUAUGACAAGUAACUAUAACGAGAAGAAAGAUGAAUGUGACUGCAAUACACAGGCAAAGCUGUGCAUAUCUGAUGCAUAAAAAGAAUUUGGAAUUUUGAGGUCUACUAAAUCAGUUGAGUCUUAUUGCAGUAUGUUUUUCUGGUUCAUUUGGCCAGAGAGCAUGUAUUAAAUCUAUAUGACCAUACACAUAGGCAAAUAUUGAUUUUAUUAGUAAAGAAAUCGAGGAAAAUAUGUAAUGUCCUAGUAUUUGGUUAUCCAGUUCUAAUACACAUUCCUUCUUUACUCAGACUCUACAUGAAUGAAGGUCGCAGUAAAUUCAUGAAGCCCUUCUGCCCACUCUAUAAAAGGCUCUGCAAGUAUUUUCAUCCUUCUGGAUGGUGUUUCCAGUGAACUGAGCACCAGCUAGGAGUCCUGGACACAUCUCUGAAGAAAGGCUGCAGCCAGUGGGCAGCACAGGAUCUCCUCAGUUCACACUUAUCCCUCUCCAAGGAUGUGUUGUAUCACAUAACAGCAGCUUGACUUAAAAGUGUUACCUGGGGUUGGAGAGAGCAUUCCCAACCUCAGCCCAGUUCCACUCUUUUGCUGUGAAGGAGCUGGCAAGGCACUGAGAUGCGCUGUUUCUCUCCAACACCCAAGCAUCAGUGCCUGAAAUAGUGAGACUUCAGAGGUUCUGGAAGUGAGAUCAGAAUGUUUGUGACAGGACUCAGCAUUGUGGUGAGAGUCAGCAGAUCAGGUUGGUGGUUGAACUUCAUAGAAUCAUAGAAUCACAGAAUGGCCUGGGUUGGAACCUGGACCUCGAGGAUCAUCAGCCCCCAACCCCCCACAGGGCC
rnacentral:lncRNA from 1 species